GACGAACGCUGGCGGCGUGCCUAAUACAUGCAAGUCACGGGGGCCCGCAUGGGUAACCGGCGAACGGGUGCGUAACACGUGAACAAUCUGCCUAGAUGUGGGGGAUAGCCGGCCCAACGGCCGGGUAAUACCGCAUACGCUCUUCGGGUGGCAUCGCUUGAAGAGGAAACCUCCGGGGCAUCUAGAGGAGUUCGCGGCCUAUCAGCUAGUUGGUGGGGUAACGGCCUACCAAGGCAAUGACGGGUAGCUGGUCUGAGAGGAUGGCCAGCCACAUUGGGACUGAGAUACGGCCCAGACUCCUACGGGAGGCAGCAGUGGGGAAUAUUGCGCAAUGGCCGAAGGGCUGACGCAGCGACGCCGCGUGGGGGAUGAAGCAUUUCGGUGUGUAAACCCCUGUUGCUCGGGACGAACAAGCGAUUUCGAUCGCUCUGACGGUACCGGGUGAGGAAGCACCGGCUAACUCCGUGCCAGCAGCCGCCGUAAUAC
rnacentral:rRNA from 1 species